GAGUGUGGGCAAAAGCUCACACUCAGUCCCAGGAUUAAGUUACUAAUCACUUGAUGUUGUCUUAAUUGAAAGGCAGAUUACCCAGACUAGUCCCUUCUGCCUUCUGGGCAGGUCACAUCUGAAAGAUUAUCCUCUUUGAAUCAGUUUGAAUGUUCUAGUGACCAGGCCACACAGUUUCUCUUGACAUUUAAAAAUAAAGCUUCCAGUCUUGUCACUAAUGGAUUUGGGGUCCAGUACCCUUAAAAUCACCUCAGAGCUGCCUGAAUCCAUAGACUACUUGCAGAAUCACUGGUUUUACUUGGAUCAAGCCAUCUGAGAAGUUUGGCUGAAAUAAAAACUCAAAGCCCCCACAAUAUUGAACCACCAUUCCAGACCCAGCCAAGGUUUGGAACAUAAAGUGAGCUGAAUGAAUCAGCCUGCAGGCAACCCAGAGAAAGUAAUUGUUCAUCCUAGCAGCACGGCUGCUUUUCUGCUUAGCAUCUGAACAAGUUAAUUUGGAAACACAGCCUUCUGGAAAGAAAUGGCGCUUCUCUCAGCAUCCCAUGGAUUCAUGAGCAGCUCCUUGAAUGCAAAUAUUGCCUGAUAUUUUCAUGUGGUCUCCAGACACAGGAGAAGAGCGACGGCGAAGAAAGGAAGGAAGGAAGAAAGAAAAGGAGCCUGAAUUUACACUCACCGCUUCAAAAGCCCUUUUGUACUAAGCCAACUUCUCCUGGCUGAAGAUGCAGUAUCUGCCAAGAAGUCGCCUGCAAGAAAGCACACCACACAACAAAAGUAUAAAACAGUCCAUUAAAGGGCUCCUUUUCUACCCACCCCCAACUUCUUUUAAUAAUUUUUUUCUUUUGCAUAAAAGACACAUUUUUAGAAAGUGGCACUCACUCGGUGCCCUACAAUGCUGACUGGGAUUAGAAAAUAAGCUGCCUCGUUAGUGAAGUUUCGAGUUCGGUUUGGCUGUUUGGGUCAAUUGUCUUUUCACCUGGCUCGAGCCACCAAGUCAACGUGAACUAAGAAUAGGAGUUAUUUAGCAUGUAGGACCCGUCGGAGAGCAAGCCUCUCGGAGCAGUGGUCUGAGAGGAGCGAGAAUGGCUGUCUUGUUUGGGUGGUUGUUGUUUUGAGCUGCUCUUACACAUUCAGACUUUCUGUCCAUUCAGCCAGAGAGGCCACGUGUCCGAAACCUGAAAGGGGCUAGUGCUUUAGAGCAACGUGGUUAAACUUGCCUUUUCAUAUGUGGGAUUUUCCAUGUGGACAAUAUUUGUUCUCUAGGCAUUUUGAGAAGCCUGCUCAUAUAUGGAUGUUUUUCAAUGUUUAUAUUUUCAAGUAUGUGUUUAAAAACCAGCAUAAACUGUGAGGGAUGUGAGAGGGUAGGAGGAAGAGAAAGUAGAAAUAAACAAAGAGUGGUCAGUAACUUCUUCCAUCACAGCCUGCAUAGACACCUGCUGGAAAGUCACAAGUCCUGUGAAAUGACUCGCCGAGUGUUUUGAUCUCCAUGAUGCCAACUGGCUGACUUUUCCAAUGAACUGACCAGUUGUUUUGGCAUCUUUCAGGAACAACUCUGCUUCAAUCUGAAUUAUUUAGAAGUAAUUACCCCAUGGGUGGAUAAUCAAGGCCUGUGCUUUCUUUCUAUUUUCUUUCUAGGCACCUGCUUUUUGGGGCCUAUUUUAAUACUAAUUCAUACCCCAAACUUGAGAAGGGUGUUUCAGUUUACUUCAGUGAACAUUUUUAUUGAACAUCUGUCAUGAGCCAAGCACUCUGCUAGAUUCUGGAGAUAGAAAGAUAAAAAGAGGUGAUUGUUGCU
ensembl:lncRNA C12orf42-AS1 C12orf42 antisense RNA 1